rfam:Triticum aestivum genome assembly, contig: Triticum_aestivum_CS42_TGACv1_scaffold_499957_6BL
AUUCUACUCCCUCCGUUGCAAAAUACAUGCCUUCUAUUUGUCAAAAUAUAUAUGUAUCUAGACAUGUUUUAGUAUAUAGGUACAUCCAUUUUUGGACAAAUGGAAGUCAAGUAUUUUGGAACGGAGGGAGUACACA